AGCGAACGCUGGCGGCAGGCCUAACACAUGCAAGUCGAACGAACCUUUCGGGGUUAGUGGCGGACGGGUGAGUAACACGUGGGAACGUGCCUUUAGGUUCGGAAUAACUCAGGGAAACUUGUGCUAAUACCGAAUGUGCCCUUCGGGGGAAAGAUUAAUCGCCUUUAGAGCGGCCCGCGUAUGAUUAGCUAGUUGGUUGAGGUAAUGGCUCACCAAGGCGACGAUCAGUAGCUGGUCUGAGAGGAUGAUCAGCCACAUUGGGACUGAGACACGGCCCAAACUCCUACGGGAGGCAGCAGUGGGGAAUCUUGCGCAAUGGGCGAAAGCCUGACGCAGCCAUGCCGCGUGAAUGAUGAAGGUCUUAGGAUUGUAAAAUUCUUUCACCGGGGACGAUAAUGACGGUAACCGGAGAAGAAGCCCCGGCUAACUUCGUG
rnacentral:rRNA from 1 species